UACGAAGGGUGCAAACGUUGUUCGGAAUCAUUGGGCGUAAAGCGCACGUAGGCGGCUUACCAAGUCGGACGUGAAAUCCCUCAGCUCAACUGAGGACGUGCAUCCGAAACUGGCGAGCUUGAGUACUGAAGAGGAUCGCGGAAUUCCCGGUGUAGAGGUGAAAUUCGUAGAUAUCGGGAGGAACACCAGUGGCGAAGGCGGCGAUCUGGGCAGAUACUGACGCUGAGGUGCGAAAGCGUGGGGAGCGAACGGG
rnacentral:rRNA from 1 species